AAGAGAGAGGAAGAUUGGCAACAGAUGUUAGCUCAGGGUGAAUCUUUCCCAGCAAAACCAACAACAAAAAAGCAUUUCUAUAUAUCAGCAACAAUUAGAACAUGUAAUAGAAAAACAGAUGUCAUUUACAAUACUAGAAAAAAUAUUAAAUACCUAGGAAUAAAUGUAACAAAAUAUGAGUAAGACCUGUAUAUAGAAAAUCAUAAAAUUAUUGAGAGAAAUUAAAGGAAACAAAUAAAUAGGAAGAGAUACUAUGUUCAUGAAUAGGAAGAUUCAAUGUUAUAAAGUUGUCACUCCUUUUCAAAUUGAUCCAUAGACUUAUUUUACUAUAUUUAAAAUCCCAACAAGGUGUUUGUUUAGAUGAGUGGGCAUUGAUAGUGGAACUCGGCAAGUUGAUACUCCAGUGUAUCAGAGCUGACAUUAAAAAUCAGUUGAGAAAGUAUUGGCUUUAAAUAAAUGAUGCUGAGACAACUGGUUAUUCAUAUAGAAAAAUGAAUCUGAACCUCUACCUCAUCCCACAUGCCAAAAGUCAACUCUAGGUGAUGAAAGACUCACUAUUAGGUAGAGCUUUAAAACCUUUUGAAGACAAUAUAAGAGAAUGCCCUUUUCAAUGAAAAGAAUGGAAGAAUUUUGGAAAAUUCUUAGAUUUUCAGAAAAGCACAGACAUUAAAGGAAAAUAUUAUUAAAGUCAACUACAUUAAAACUAAGAACUUCUAUUCAUCAAGAGAUACUAUAACGAGUGAAAAGAUGAGACAUAAACUGGGAGAGGGUUUGCUCUACCCAUGUGACAAAGGGUUAGUAUCCAGACUACAUAAAAACUAUAAGCCAAUAAGAAAAAAUACAACCUAUUUUAAAUGGGAAAAACAUUUGAAUGGGUACAUCACUGAAGAGAGAACAAAUGGUAAAUUAACAUAUGAAAAUAUUCUCAACUUUAUUUGUAAUCAGAGAAAUGCAAAUUAAAGCCACAAUGCAUAUUAUUUCAAUCUCAGUCUGACAAAAAUUUUUAAAUGUGAAAUAUCAAGAAUUAGAGAUGUGGAGCCACUGAAUUCUUAUACACUGCUGGUGGGAGUUAUUUCAACCAUUUUGGAAGAUAAUUUAGCAGUAUCUGUUAGGUUAAAAAUAGGCGUGCCCUUUGACCCUGCAAUUCCACUCUCUGAUGUUUGACCUAGAGAAACUUAUACACACAUACUAGGAGAUAGGUACAAGGAUGUUCAUGGUAGCAUAUUUGUAACAGCAAAGACUGGAAAUAACCAAAAUAUUUACCAACAUACAAUGGAUUAAAAAUUAUGGUAUGUUCAUAUAAUUGAAUACUAUACAGCAAUAAAAAUGUAUAAACUGUAGUCAGCUGUAACAACAUGGAUGGAUCUCAGGAACAUAUUACUGAGUGGAAAAAGCAAGGCACAGAAAGAUCCAUAUAGUAAAACUCCAAUUAUAUGAAGUUCAAAAGUACACAAAAUUACAUGUUAUAUAUGUUCAGGCAUAUAUGUAUAUGUGGUAAAAUAGAAAUAAAACAAAGAGAAUGAUGAGGAAGAAAGGAUGGGAUUAGAGACGUGCCCAUAGGAGCUUAAAUGCUUAUGUCUUAAAUAGGACAGUGGGUACACAAGUGUAUUGAUACUUUAUUUUUUCCUUAAACAUUUAUUUUAUGUAUGUUCUUUUGUAUAUGUUCAAUAUUUCAUAAAAAUAAAAUUUCAAGGCUCCUUGGAAUUGAGGAGGUAAAAGAGGUUUAUCAUAGUGUGAUUUCAGGCUGGAAAGUUGGAAACAGCAAAGGUCCCCCAUAAGAGUCUGGUUAAAUAAAUUAAGGUACAUUUAUACAACAAAAUAGUUAGCAUCAAUGAAGGAUCAUGAGUUAGAAGUGCAUAUACUGAUAUGAGAAGAUGUUCCUUGUAUAGUAGGUAAAAGAAGUUUCAGAACAAUAUGGUAUCCCAUUUGUAUCAGAAACUAAAAGCACACGUACAUAAGAAUAUAAAAAGUGCUUAGUCAGUACACCAAAAAGCUAACAGUGUUGGGAUUUGGGCAUUAGCUAUUAGGAUUACAUAUGAAUUUUUUUCCUUCUUGAUUUCUCUUAUUUUUUUCCCCCAGAAACAUAUAUUACUUUUAUACCAAAAAAGAAGUCGGAGAAAGAAUAACAAAGAAUAUCUAAGAAACAUCAGAAAGAAGAAUGUAAUUGUAAAAUAUUUGGAAAUGACCUUCACAAAAUAUGCUUUUUUUUUAAGAAAAUGACUAUACUUUUCUUAGAGUUAAAAAAUGAGAUUUGAAGAUAAAUGGAUCUAUCCAUCUAUCUAGUUUCUGGCUAAAAGACUAAAUAUAAUAACAAUUUAAAUUCUUCCCAAUUUAAUUUACAAGAUUAAAACAAUUCUAAACGAAAUCUCAAUGAAGUUUUUUAAAGAAUAAGUGGGGCUAUUGAUAAUAGAAUUCUGAAAAUUAAGAAUUAAUAGGUUAGAUUUGUUCUUAUCGAUACUAAAAUGAUGAAGCGACAACUGCUGAACCACUCUGAUACAGCCAAAUAGGAAGCUCUUAAACAUCUAACAGAAAGUGCUCAAACGUUUCUUCGUACUUUUAAAAACAAUGUAUGAUGAAGGAAAUAACAGUAAUUGAGAAAGUGAUGAACUGUUUAAUAAAUGAUGUUGGAAUAAUGGCUAAGGAAGGGUAGUUAAUUUUUCACCUUAAAAGGUAUUCUAAAAUAAAUUUGAUGUGUUUAUCUAAAAUAAAUUCUAGGUGUAAUUUACAUUAAUUAUGUAAAAAAUUUAAAGCAUUAUAAAGAAGGGAACACAGAAAAUAUGUAACAGAUUCACAAUAAUGUAAGUCACUAAAUCCUGACUUUGCAGGACAAAUUGAUAGUCUUGACUACCAACGCUCUUUUUCUUCCUUUUGCUUCCUUUGGCUUCCGUGACAAUCACUGCCCUGAUUUUUCUCCUACCACUUUGGCUACCACUUCUUCAAUUCCUUUGCAGGAUUAUCCUCCUCUGGAGGCCAUUGUGUGUUUGAGUUCCUCAGGGCCACUCCUUGUCUACAUUUUCUCCCAAGGUAUUCACAUUCAUACCCAUGGCUCCAAUUACCACCUCUACUCAGGUGACUCAAAUUUAACUCUAGCCCAGCCAUUUCUUACUUAUCAGUAUUAGUCAGGGUCCCUGAAAGAAAAAGACGGCACACUCAAGAUGGUAAUUAAGAAGAUUUUAGUUAAGAGAUCAUUUACAGGGGCCAGCCUGGUGGGGUAGUAGUUAAGUUCACGCAUUCUGCUUCAGUGGCCCAAGGUUUGUGGGUGCAGAUCCUGGGCGUGGAGCUACAUACUGCUUAUCAAGCCAUGCUAUGGCAGCAUCCCACAUAUAAAAGAUAGAGGAAGAUUGGCACAGAUGUUAGCUCAGAGACAAUCUUCCUCAUGAAAAAAAAAAGAUUAUUUACAAAAGGUUGGGGAAAGCAACAGAGGAUAAUGGCACAGUAUCUCAGGGAGCUAUUACCACCUAGGCCUAAAGAAGCAAGGAGAUGGAAAUGAUUCCUGGAUGAGAGAGAGAGAAAAGAGGAAGAAGUGGCAGAAAGAAGGGCAGGAGAAGGAGGAGGCAAAGGAGGAGGGUUUGAAGCAGGCGGGAUGGAAAGAGGAGGAGGUGGGGAAGUGGGCAGGAGAGGAAGGGGAAGAGAGAAUGCAGGAUGUAGAUAAUAUGGAAUAAAUAUUUAGCCUUCACUCUCUUCCUUCAGUCUUCUGCCUGACCUCCCAUUGGCUGAACCCAACAAGAAGCCAGAGAACGUGGACACCAGGUGCUGGGAUACGUGGAAUCUUGGUGCAUUCCACACAGAUGCAUUCACUUCAGAUAUUCACAGAGACUUGACAUGUCAUAUAAGCAACUGGAUGUCUGAAUUUGGAGGAAACGUCUGGGCUGGAGAGAUUAAUUUGGGAGUUUCCAGCAUUUUAUAGUAUUUAAAGGUAUGGGAACGGCUGGGAUUACCAAGAAGGUGAGUUUAUAAAGAAAGCAGAGAAUAGAGCCAAAUUUUUAGAGAAGACAAGAAGAGGAAAAACCCCUGAAGAACAGUAAACAGCAGCGGUUAGACAAGUAGGAGACAGACCAAGCAAUGGCAGUGUCGUAGACUCCAAAAGAAGAGAUUUUUUUCUCAAGAAGUGGAGCCUGACCAACUAUGUUGAAAACAG